CUUGGUCAUUUAGAGGAAGUAAAAGUCGUAACAAGGUCUCCGUUGGUGAACCAGCGGAGGGAUCAUUACCGAGUUUACAACUCCCAAACCCCUGUGAACAUACCACUUGUUGCCUCGGCGGAUCAGCCCGCUCCCGGUAAAACGGGACGGCCCGCCAGAGGACCCCUAAACUCUGUUUCUAUAUGUAACUUCUGAGUAAAACCAUAAAUAAAUCAAAGCUUUCAACAACGGAUCUCUUGGUUCUGGCAUCGAUGAAGAACGCAGCAAAAUGCGAUAAGUAAUGUGAAUUGCAGAAUUCAGUGAAUCAUCGAAUCUUUGAACGCACAUUGCGCCCGCCAGUAUUCUGGCGGGCAUGCCUGUUCGAGCGUCAUUUCAACCCUCAAGCACAGCUUGGUGUUGGGACUCGCGUUAAUUCGCGUUCCUCAAAUUGAUUGGCGGUCACGUCGAGCUUCCAUAGCGUAGUAGUAAAACCCUCGUUACUGGUAAUCGUCGCGGCCACGCCGUUAAACCCCAACUUCUGAAUGUUGACCUCGGAUCAGGUAGGAAUACCCGCUGAACUUAAGCAUAUCAAUAAGCGGAGGA
rnacentral:rRNA from 1 species